rnacentral:lncRNA from 1 species
CUCCCUCCAGCCAGGGGUGUGGGGGUCUGUGCAUGUGGCGGCAACAUGUGUAUCCAGCCCAGGAGGCUGUGCUGCCCACAGCAAAAGCACUCAGGAACAUGUGUGUGCUCAGAGGAGCAUGCCUGUAACGGCGGAACAUGAGUUGUGUGAGCAAAGGAACCUCCCAGGUCAGGGGAGUGACCCUUGGGGCUUGUGGGACCCUGUCUGCAAACGGUGUGGGAUCCUUCCUUCUGGGCCCAGGAAGGAGACCCCAGGCCCUGCCACCAGGUUGUGGGACACUCGGAGCUUGGCCUGAAGUGCCAGUUGCUGCAGUGAGGCUCCAGGUCAUUCUGAGGCUGAGGUCACGCCGGACUUGGCCUGAGGGCCAGGGUCACUCUGCCGGGAAAACAGGCUCCGGGGCUGGGCUGCACACCAGAGCCUGGCUUCCACGUGGUCUGGCUGAGACCCAGUUCUGAGGCGUCUGCUCCAGAGACAAACGCCCAGGCACACCCAGCCCCAGGCCCACCGUGAUGCUGGGCAGCAGCUCUCCAGGAAGUAACACCUGAGGAUGGGAGUGGCUGCUGGGGGCGCCCAGGAGGCCCUGACACGUCUGAGGCGCCGGAGCGGCGAGACCGGCGCAGAACGGGCGGCCCCGAGCACUGCUGCGACCCCGCCGGCCUCGACCUCGACACCCCGCGACCCCGCCGGACCCUGGAAGCAUGAGCUGCAUCCCGCAUCCGCAGGAGGGCGGCGCUGCGACCCACCCCCGCCCCCGUUUCCAGAGGAGGCCGCUGCGGCGCGGGGCGGUCCCACGUGGUGCCUGAGGCUGGGACACCCCGACUCUGAUUGCAGGGGGGUCGGAUCCGAGGCUGGGGGUCCCGCAGUCUGGCUGGGGUCCGCUACUGGCCUCGACGUACAGGGGCCGACCCCACCCCUACCUCGUUCUCUGAGCCUCAGCUUCCCCCCGUGAGAGGUGGAGGCGGUGGGGGGGCGCACCGGGCACGACCCCGCGGCAAUGACGGGGCUGGCAACGCCCCCCACAGCGGCACAGGCGGAUA